GGAAGUAAAAGUCGUAACAAGGUCUCCGUUGGUGAACCAGCGGAGGGAUCAUUACCGAGUUUACAACUCCCAAACCCCAUGUGAACCUUACCACUACGUUGCUUCGGCGGGAUGCCCCGGGCGCGGGCCGCAAGGCCUCAGCCCCGGAACCAGGCGCCCGCCGGAGGCCCAAACCAAACUCUUGUUUUUUGUUAGCAUCUUCUGAGUGGCCUUUUAGGCAAAAAAUGAAUCAAAACUUUCAACAACGGAUCUCUUGGUUCUGGCAUCGAUGAAGAACGCAGCGAAAUGCGAUAAGUAAUGUGAAUUGCAGAAUUCAGUGAAUCAUCGAAUCUUUGAACGCACAUUGCGCCCGCCAGCAUUCUGGCGGGCAUGCCUGUUCGAGCGUCAUUUCAACCCUCAAGCCCCCCCGGGGGCCUGGUGUUGGGGACCGGCCCCGCCCCGUCGCGGGUCGCCGCCCCCUAAAUUCAGUGGCGGUCUUGCCGCAGCCUCCUCUGCGUAGUAGCUUUUGAAACCUCGCACCGGAGCGCGGCUCGGCCACGCCGUUAAACCCCAACUUUCUGAAAGUUUGACCUCGGAUCAGGUAGGAAUACCCGCUGAACUUAAGCAUAUCAAUAAGCGGAGGA
rnacentral:rRNA from 1 species